rnacentral:tRNA from 2 species
GGCUAUGUAGCUCAGCUGGUUAGAGCACGGCACUCAUAAUGCCGGAGUCGGUAGUUCGAAUCUACCCAUAGCCACCA